GGGGAAUUUUCCGCAAUGGGCGAAAGCCUGACGGAGCAAUACCGCGUGAGGGAGGAAGGCUCUUGGGUUGUAAACCUCUUUUCUACAGGGAAUAAGAANCUGAAGGUACCUGAGGAAUCAGCAUCGGCUAACUCCGUGCCAGCAGCCGCGGUAAUANCGGAGGAUGCAAGCGUUAUCCGGAAUGAUUGGGCGUAAAGCGUCCGCAGGUGGUUUAUCAAGUCUGCUGUCAAAGAGUUUGGCUCAACCAAAUAAAGGCAGUGGAAACUGACAGACUGGAGUGCGGUAAGGGCAGAGGGAAUUCCUGGUGUAGCGGUGAAAUGCGUAGAGAUCAGGAAGAACACCGGUGGCGAAAGCGCUCUGCUGGGCCGUAACUGACACUGAGGGACGAAAGCUAGGGGAGCGAAUGGGAUUAGAUACCCCAGUAGUC
rnacentral:rRNA from 1 species